rnacentral:rRNA from 1 species
CCUACGGGAGGCUGCAGUGGGGAAUAUUGGACAAUGGGGGAAACCCUGAUGCAGCGACGCCGCGUGAGUGAAGAAGUAUUUCGGUAUGUAAAGCUCUAUCAGCAGGGAAGAAAAUGACGGCACCUGACUAAUAAGCCCCGGCUAACAACGAGCCAGCAGCCGCGGUAAUACGUAGGGGGCAAGAGUUAUCCGGAUUGACUGGGUGUAAUGGGAGCGUAGUCGGCCAGACAAGUCAGAAGUGAAAGACUAGGGCUCAACCCUGGAACUGCUUUUGAAACUGGCGGGCUGGAGUGCAGGAGAGGUAAGCGGAAUUCCUGGUGUAGCGGUGAAAUGCGUAGAUAUUAGGAGGAACACCAGUGGCGAAGGCGGCUUACUGGACUGUAACUGACGUUGAGGCUCGAAAGCGUGGGGAGCAAACAGGAUUAGAUACCCGGGUAGUC